rnacentral:rRNA from 1 species
GUGAGGAAUAUUGCGCAAUGGACGAAAGUCUGACGCAGCCAUGCCGCGUGAAGGAUUGACGGCCCUAUGGGUUGUAAACUUCUUUUGUAUAGGAAUAAACCCUCGUUCGUGAACGAGGCUGAAGGUACUAUAAGAAUAAGCACCGGCUAACUCCGUGCCAGCAGCCGCGGUAAUACGGAGGGUGCAAGCGUUAUCCGGAUUUAUUGGGUUUAAAGGGUCCGUAGGCGGAUCGUUAAGUCAGUGGUGAAAUCCUACCGCUCAACGGUAGAACUGCCAUUGAUACUGGCGAUCUUGAGUAUGUAUGAAGUUGGCGGAAUGUGUGGUGUAGCGGUGAAAUGCUUAGAUAUCACACAGAACACCGAUUGCGAAGGCAGCUGACUAAUACACAACUGACGCUGAGGGACGAAAGUGUGGGGAUCAAACAGGAUUAGAUACCCCAGUAGUCC